UACGAAGGGGGCUAGCGUUGCUCGGAAUCACUGGGCGUAAAGCGCACGUAGGCGGCUUCUUAAGUCAGGGGUGAAAUCCUGGAGCUCAACCUCGGAACUGCCUUUGAUACAGCAAGUCUUGAGUUCGAGAGAGGUGGGUGGAAUUCCUAGUGUAGAGGUGAAAUUCGUAGAUAUUCGCAAGAACACCAGUGGCGAAGGCGGCUCACUGGCCCGAUACUGACGCUGAGGCACGAAAGCGUGGGGAGCAAACAGG
rnacentral:rRNA from 1 species